GACGUAGGUCGCGAGCGUUGUCCGGAAUUAUUGGGCGUAAAGAGCUCGCAGGCGGCCUGUUGCGUCCGCUGUGAAAGCCCGGGGCUUAACCCCGGGUCGGCAGUGGAUACGGGCAGGCUAGAGGUAGGUAGGGGAGAAUGGAAUUCCCGGUGUAGCGGUGAAAUGCUUAGAUAUCGUCCAGAACACCGAUAGCGAAGGCAGCUUACUAAGGAGUAACUGACGCUGAGGCACGAAAGUGUGGGGAGCAAACAGG
rnacentral:rRNA from 1 species